rnacentral:snRNA from 1 species
CCGCUGUGGCAGUGUGUGCACUGAAAUUGGAACAUUGCCGAGAUUAACAUGGCCCCUGCACAAGGAUGAUACGCAAAUGUGUGAAGCAUUCUAUAUUUUA